AAUGGCUAAAUGAAGACUAAACUGUCUCUUGCAGCCCACCUAUGAAACUGAUCCCUUAGUCAAAAAGCUAAGAUUACCCCGCAAGACGAGAAGACCCUGUGGAGCUUAAAACCAGACUCAUCCAAUGACCUCCCGGUUUUUAGUUGGGGCGACUUCGGAGAACAAAAAAUCCUCCGAUUAUACACCACAGAUCAACACAUCAAAUAUAACUUGACCCAGUAGCACUCCUGCUAACUGAUUAACGAACCAAGUUACCCCAGGGAUAACAGCGCCAUCCUCUUCUAGAGUCCCUAUCGACAAGAGGGCUUACGACCUCGAUGUUGGAUCAGGACA
rnacentral:rRNA from 1 species